rfam:Lupinus angustifolius cultivar Tanjil contig_1837, whole genome shotgun sequence.
AGGUGCGAUCAAACCAGCACUAAUGCACCAGAUCCUAACAUAACUCCCUAGUUAAACAUGCUUGGGCGAGAGUAGUAAUAAGAUGGGUGACCUCCUAGGAAGUCCUCGUGUUGUACCUC